rnacentral:lncRNA from 1 species
ACUCCCCUCCUCUACUUCUGGUUGUCAUGAACUAAGCUCCUGUCCUCUGCCACACCCUUCCACCAUGAUGUUCCUGCCUUGAAGCCAGCCAACCAUGGACUAAAUCCCAUGAAACUAUGAGGUAAAAUGGGAAUUUAUUCUUUCAAGUAAAAAUUGUCUUUCAUGGAAAAACGUAUGUCCUGCUUGGCUCACACCUUCAACAAUUCCACAGUGUUUUUCUCAAGACAACUGUCAUACCCAGAAGGAAAUCUGAGACUAGGAAACCUGACCUUUGGAUGACCUUCUUAAUCUGGUCCCUGGACAGAACACCUGAGACACCUGAGAUCCCUGGGGAAUCCACGCUGCAAGAAAGUGCCAUCCUGGGGAAGACACCAUGCUAUCUCCUUAGUUGCCCUUCUUCUGCUCCUCCUUACUGACAAGACCUAACUUCGCUCAGGGUGACAAUGUAUCCAGUAUCUUAGAGUGAAAACACGAGGCCUGCAGGUUGAAUAGCUCUCUUGAGACUGCGAGGAUCAACCCACCAGCCAACGAUAGCAGAGCCUGGAUUCCUGAUGACUUCCUCUGCUUUGCUUACCAAGAGGAAGCUGACUUUCUUUCAGCUGAAGCUGCUGCGGUUCUGGGUCUGUUACAUGCAAUCAGAGGAAAUCUUUAAAUGAUGCAUAACUCAAUCUCAGUCUCAAAAGCCAGGCUGGGACUGGGGGUGUGGUCUAGUGGUAAAACAUGUGCUGAACAUGUGUGAGAUCCUGGGUUUAAUUUCUAGCAUGCACACACACUCACACACAGCCAAAAGUGUACACCAUUUGGAGAACUAGACAAGAAAAUUCUAAAGUUUACAAGGAAAAUUAGACAAAUAAUAACAGUAAUAAUCCCAGGACUCUGGGAGUCUGAGACAGAAGGAUCAAAAGUUUGAGGCCAACCUGGGCAACUUAGUGAGACCUUGCUUAAAAAUAAAAAUAGAAAAGAUCUGGGGAUGUGACUAUUGGUAGAGUACUACUGGGUUCCAUCCCCAGUAGCACAAAAACAAAACAAAACAAAAUCUAAAAAGGAAAAGAAAAACUGUAAAAGAUGAUUAGUAGUGGGGAAUAAUCCUCCCAGAUAUUAAAAUGCACUGCAAACCUACAGUAUAAUUAAAAUAGUGGGCUGUCUCCACUUAAAUAGGCACACAGUUUAAAAGGAAGCCCAGAAGUAUACUCAAAUACAUAUGGAAAUUUUGUCUAUGGUAGGAAUGGCACUUUGUAACCGUAGAGAGAAUAUAGACUACCCAAAAAUAGUUUUUACAACUGGGCAGCCUUAAGAGUGAGGCUGAACCCCC